GACGAACGCUGGCGGCGUGCUUAACACAUGCAAGUCGAACGCUGAAGCCCAGCUUGCUGGGUGGAUGAGUGGCGAACGGGUGAGUAACACGUGAGCAACCUGCGCUUCAGUCUGGGAUAACUCCGGGAAACCGGUUCUAAUACCGGAUAUGAGAUCUGCAGGCCUGUGGGGGGUUGGAAAGUUUUUCGGUGAGGGAUGGGCUCGCGGCCUAUGCGUUUGUUGGUGAGGUAGUGGCUCACCAAGGCGACGACGGGUAGCCGGCCUGAGAGGGCGACCGGCCACACUGGGACUGAGACACGGCCAAGACUCCUACGGGAGGCAGCAGUGGGGAAUAUUGCACAAUGGGCGAAAGCCUGAUGCAGCGACGCCGCGUGAGGGAUGACGGCCUUCGGGUUGUAAACCUCUUUCAGCUCCGAAGAAGCGCAAGUGACGGUAGGAGCAGAAGAAGCGCCGGCUAACUACGUGCCAGCAGCAGCCGCCG
rnacentral:rRNA from 1 species